UGGGGAUGCAGACUCCCCAUUAGACGGAGCGUCCGUCCAAGCUCUGC
rnacentral:ncRNA from 1 species